rnacentral:rRNA from 1 species
AUAUACAGCCACACUACCCUGAGAACGCCCGAUCUCAUCUGAUCUCAGAAGCUAAGCAGGGUCAGGCCCGGUUAGCACUUGGAUCGGAGACCAGCUGGGAAUACCGGGUGCUGUGGGCU